UGGGGAAUUUUGGACAAUGGGCGCAAGCCUGAUCCAGCCAUGCCGCGUGUCUGAAGAAGGCCUUCGGGUUGUAAAGGACUUUUGUCAGGGAAGAAAAGGCUGUUGCUAAUAUCGGCGGCUGAUGACGGUACCUGAAGAAUAAGCACCGGCUAACUACGUGCCAGCAGCCGCGGUAAUACGUAGGGUGCAAGCGUUAAUCGGAAUUACUGGACGUAAAGCGAGCGCAGACGGUUACUUAAGCAGGAUGUGAAAUCCCCGGGCUCAACCUGGGAACUGCGUUCUGAACUGGGUGACUAGAGUGUGUCAGAGGGAGGUAGAAUUCCACGUGUAGCAGUGAAAUGCGUAGAGAUGUGGAGGAAUACCGAUGGCGAAGGCAGCCUCCUGGGAUAACACUGACGUUCAUGCUCGAAAGCGUGGGUAGCAAACAGGAUUAGAUACCCUGGUAGUCCACGCCCUAAACGAUGUCAAUUAGCUGUUGGGCAACUUGAUUGUUCAGUAGCGUAGCUAACGCGUGAAAUUGACCGCCUGGGGAGUACGGUCGCAAGAUUA
rnacentral:rRNA from 1 species